UUAAAAUUUAUCCAUAUUUAAGUUAAUUGAGAUCAGGAAAUUAAUUAUACGUGUAAUUGAUUAAAUGGAGAUUUGUAUUGGAAACGAGAAAUUUAUGAAAAUUAUGGGAUAAAUAUUAAGUGGACAUAAUCCAAGUAGGUACGGAUAGGUGGCAGCAAUAUCAUUAAUACAUGAGCACACGUCCACGUGGUGUCUUGCCAAGGAAUGGAACAGAUGACUAAUGUCCUAUAUAUUGAUAUAUGUGUUGAAGUACAACUUGGAUAAUUUCCUAAUAUAAUAAAAUAUUGGAGAAGAGUUGGAACCCACGGCUAAUGAAAUAUGAAAUGGUUUGGAUUGUAUUCUUUUUUUAUUUCUCUAAUUCAAAGCUUGUAGGAACAAUAGGUGUGACCCUUUCUUUUAGCUGAAUAUUAACCCUCAAAUACAAGUAUGGCAGCAACGUUUUUUUUUUCCUCUAAAAGAAAACACAGUAGUAACGUUAUUUUCCAAAGCAUGGCAGCAAGUUGCCUUUCCAAAAGAGAAUAACAAUGUUUCCAGUUACGUUGGGGAGAUCGAAGGUUGCUUCGUAGUGAAAUAAAGCGGAAGAAGAAAUUGCGAAAUUGGAGCAAUUAAGAAUAGAAAUUCCUCCGAGAAAAAUAAGACUAGCGAUAGCGAGCUUGGACAAAUAAGCGUAGCUAAUAGGACGUGGGACAGGUACACCCAGAUAAGUAGAAGAUUUUGCUAAAGGUGUUCCAGCGGGAUUGGCGAGCUCCAUCUCAGUUCGGAGUGUUGCCGGGUCGAAGUACUUAUGUCAUGGUAUUUUGUAUAUGUUAGAGACUUUGCAGACAGUGUCCUGUGGAUAGGGCGUCGAGAGGUGCGAAUCAUUUGUAGAUGUUAAAAAAAAAAUAUGUAUUUUCAGGUGAUCUCAGUUGGUAAAAAGUACGUAAUUGAUUGAAAGUUUUCAUAAUCUGUAUUAAGACAAUGAUCUCUAUUUGGAAAAGUUUCAUGUUUUAAAAGUUUUUGAAAUGACAGGUUUUGGUAAAGCAAACGUUUGAGGGUUCGCUCGACUCUGAUGAGAGUCGGGUGCCCGUCAUGCCCUACCAUUGCUAGGGUGUGACAAAGUGGUAUCAGAGCAGUUCGUUCUAGGGGUUGUCUGCAAAGUCGUGUCAGGUAGAGUCUUGUUCAUGGGUGUGUUGUCGACCACACUUAUGAACAGGAGGCUACAGGGCAUUUAGGAUGGUUACUCUUCUUUCAUAUCUAAGAUCGUGCGAUAGAGCCAAGCCGUAGGAAAUGAGAUUCCUUGUGCUAACCUUUGAUUUUAGCAGGAGAGUGGUGUCAACAAGAGGAGGUAAUGAUCAUACUGGGAGUUACAGAGGAGGUUCUGCCAAAAUUUUGUUAAAAAUUGAUUGUGAUCAGUAUAUAUAUGUGUGCUAUGAUCAGUAAGAUACACAAGUGUAAACUGAAGAAUGAAAGAUUAAUAAUAGUUGUAAAUCAGCUGAAAGGAGGGUUAUGAGAUGGGUUAGGAAUGAGUUUGAGAGUUAGGUUGAAAUUACUCUAGGAUAUAGGAGUGAGUCGAGGGUUAAGAUAAGUUCUCUCGGGGAUUAGAAGUAUGGUUGAUGAAUUAAGAUUAAUAUGAUUCGAAUAAUGUGAUAAGAUUACGAGAAGAGACAUAAGAGGGGAAGCAAUGACAAGCAAGGAGUCAUUCGAGAGAUGAGUUAGUAUAAAAAAAAAAGUAAGCGUUAACGAGUAAAAAAAAAAUGAUGAUGAAACAAGGAAAAGAAAGAAACAUGAUUAUAUGUGUUUGAGGAAAGGGAGUAACGUGAUAUUAGUAAGUGUUGGAAUUGGAUACGAGUAUUAGUCUUCAUUUAACAUUCGAGGACGAAUGUUUCUAAGAGGGGAAGGAUGUUACAUCCCGUACUCUCAUGCGUUGGAAAAUGUGCGGUUAAAUGAUAUUAGUAAUGGACACGAGAUUAUCCCCUAAGCUUAUAGGUGGUUAAAGUGAUGGUACACACGUAUCGUAAGGAUUUGAAGUUAGACCAAUCGAAGAAAAAUAAGUUUUGUCAAGUUUCAACAUUUAUUUGAAUGAAAUGCGGUCCGAGCAAUAAUACCCCAUAUUUUGGACCGUGAAACUAAGCCAUCCAACAUGAGAAAAUUUACCCGAGCCCGGGGAAUUCGAUCAUAUCCAAGGAUGAAAAUUAAGAGCCCGGUGUAUACAAGGAAUGAAGUCCCAAAAUUAUUUAAGACGACGAAAUAUGACGACGAUGAUCGAAAAUAAUAUUUUAUGUAUGGCAAAUAAGGCUAUAGACUAGUGCUAUAUUAGAUGAGCAUGAUAAUUAGUAUAUGUAGUGUAUUAAAAUUUAUCCAUAUUUAAGUUAAUUGAGAUCAGGAAAUUAAUUAUACGUGUAAUUGAUUAAAUGGAGAUUUGUAUUGGAAACGAGAAAUUUAUGAAAAUUAUGGGAUAAAUAUUAAGUGGACAUAAUCCAAGUAGGUACGGAUAGGUGGCAGCAAUAUCAUUAAUACAUGAGCACACGUCCACGUGGUGUCUUGCCAAGGAAUGGAACAGAUGACUAAUGUCCUAUAUAUUGAUAUAUGUGUUGAAGUACAACUUGGAUAAUUUCCUAAUAUAAUAAAAUAUUGGAGAAGAGUUGGAACCCACGGCUAAUGAAAUAUGAAAUGGUUUGGAUUGUAUUCUUUUUUUAUUUCUCUAAUUCAAAGCUUGUAGGAACAAUAGGUGUGACCCUUUCUUUUAGCUGAAUAUUAACCCUCAAAUACAAGUAUGGCAGCAACGUUUUUUUUUUCCUCUAAAAGAAAACACAGUAGUAACUUUAUUUUCCAAAGCAUGGCAGCAAGUUGCCUUUCCAAAAGAGAAUAACAAUGUUUCCAGUUACGUUGGGGAGAUCGAAGGUUGCUUCGUAGUGAAAUAAAGCGGAAGAAGAAAUUGCGAAAUUGGAGCAAUUAAGAAUAGAAAUUCCUCCGAGAAAAAUAAGACUAGCGAUAGCGAGCUUGGACAAAUAAGCGUAGCUAAUAGGACGUGGGACAGGUACACCCAGAUAAGUAGAAGAUUUUGCUAAAGGUGUUCCAGCGGGAUUGGCGAGCUCCAUCUCAGUUCGGAGUGUUGCCGGGUCGAAGUACUUAUGUCAUGGUAUUUUGUAUAUGUUAGAGACUUUGCAGACAGUGUCCUGUGGAUAGGGCGUCGAGAGGUGCGAAUCAUUUGUAGAUGUUAAAAAAAAAAGUAUGUAUUUUCAGGUGAUCUCAGUUGGUAAAAAGUAUGUAAUUGAUUGAAAGUUUUCAUAAUCUGUAUUAAGACAAUGAUCUCUA